GCUACCACAUCCAAGGAAGGCAGCAGGCGCGCAAAUUACCCACUCCCGGCACGGGGAGGUAGUGACGAAAAAUAACAAUACGGGACUCUUUUGAGACCCCGUAAUUGGAAUGAGUACACUCUAAAUCCUUUAACGAUGAACUAUUGGAGGUAAAGUCUGGUGCCAGCAUCCGCGGUAACUCCAGCUCCAAUAGCGUAUAUUAAAGUUGUUGCGGUUAAAAAGCUCGUAGUUGGAUCUCAGUUUGUGCGCGCGCGGUCCGACGCGAGUCGGCUACUGCGUGCGUGCGACCGUGCCGCCGGUUUCCCUGGAUGAUCUUAACCGGUUGUCCCGGGUGACCGGCAAGUUUACUUUGAAAAAAUUAGAGUGCUCAAAGCAGGCGCAGACGCCUGAAUAAUGGUGCAUGGAAUAAUGGAAUAGGACCUCGGUUCUAUUUUGUUGGUUUUCUGGACACGAGGUAAUGAUUAAGAGGGACAGACGGGGGCAUUCGUAUUGCGACGCUAGAGGUGAAAUUCUUGGACCGCCGCACGACGAACUACUGCGAAAGCAUUUGCCAAGAAUGUUUCCAUUAAUCAAGAACGAAAGUCAGAGGUUCGAAGGCGAUCAGAUACCGCCCUAGUUCUGACCAUAAACGAUGCCAGCCAGCGAUCCGGCUGCGUUCCUCAAAUGACGCGCCGGGCAGCUUCCGGGAAACCAAAGCUUUUGGGUUCCGGGGGGAGUAUGGUU
rnacentral:rRNA from 1 species